GUCAAACUCCUAAACCUGCAUUUGCAGGUGAGUGUUGACACUUCUCCAACGCGCAUCGGUGAGGUGAUGUGUCAUCUGUCGCCAGGCAGCGUGUGGGGCAGCAGACUGCGGGCGGCGGUGUUUACAAACCCGCGUCUCGGAUGGAGGGCCUCCACGACAGCUUCUCAAACUUGUUCAGCUGACUGAAGGUCCCGUUGUGUUGCGCCGACGACAUCCUCACAGGAGCUUGGUCACACCCGAGGAACCCGCUUCGCUGUGACCGAGCCCCGUGGCAUGAGACCGCAGGCUCCUACAAUCAGACCGAAACAAAAUGUUAAAAACCUGGGAUUUACCACGUCCACAACUAUCAAAAUAUGCUUUGCACAUUACAGUAAAACGUAGCGUCUAAAGCAAACUAAAAUGAAUAAGAAAUAAAAACAAAACUAAAGAAACCUUUUUGGUUGAGAGGUGAAAACGUCUUCAAGAAACUACAAAGAAGUCCAUUUGCUCCUGAUUCAACACCCUCUUGGACAACAAUGAGCUGGAUGAAUGAGAAUCUCCACAGACAUCUUUAACUUAUUAUUGCACCACCGACUUUGUGUACCGUAAUUUGUCUUGCUUGCUGCAGUAAGUCAACUUUCAAAAAGUAUGGUCACUUGCAACCUGGCAAAAAGUGAUUGAAAUAUUGAAAUUGCUCAUCAAAGUAAAACAUAUGGAUUAAGUAA